AUCAACGUUUCAGUUCCAACUGGAACUUUCAUCAGGAUCAGGCAUGCCUGAUCCUGAUGAAAGUUCCUGUUGGAACUGAAAAAGU